AAGACCCGAGUUUAUUGCAAACA
rnacentral:siRNA from 1 species